ACCGGUCUCCGUGAAUCGCCCUGUAUGUAUUUAAUAUUUAUAAAUAAUAUGUGUGUGUAAUAUGUAUGUGCGUGUGUUGUUACAGUCCAUUGUCCGUGAAUAUAUAUGAAAAAAAAAAAAAAAUACAAAUCGCACGCGCUUACGAGUUUUAUAUUAUACGUACGCGUGUAUAUAGGGAGGACGAGCACAAAUUUUAUAUCGAUUUCCCUUCCCCCGACAACGCGCGCCGCCGCCGCCGCCUUUGCGACCGUGUCCGGUUUAUCACAUUAUUACCGUCUGCCACUGCUAUAAUAAUAUAGUAAUAUUCUAGUGAAAUCGUACGGCAAAAAAAACAAAAAUAAUAAUAAUAAACGGCAAUAAAGAGACGAGAAAAAUUGGCACCCGAUCAAGUGCAGAACGCGGACGAACCUUGGGGUUAAAGACAGCAGCAGCAGCGGUGCUAUAGAACGGAGUUUUAUAUUGUCGUUUUUUUUUUUUGUUUUUUUUUUUUUCAGAAUUAUAUUAUAUUGUUCUCCCGUCGUCGUCCGAAUGUGCGCCCGAUAAAUCAACGAGUUCAUUAACUCUGACCUGUUUUUUUUUUCUUUUUUUAUAUUUUUUGCAUAACCCGCGCGCGCGAUGACUGUACGUUUUUUUUUUUUUUUUUUUUCUUAUUAUUCUAUUCUAUACACAAUAUACGUAGGUAGGUACAUAUUAUUUUAUUUUUUAUUUUUUUUUUUUUUAACCACGUGUGGCCGUACAUUAUAAUAUUACUUUGAUAUUCCCGGAAAAUAUUACAAUAUUGUUUAACAACACGUAUAAUAUUAUCGUUGUGAAAACGAGGAGGCGGUAAGUAUAAUAUACGCGCGUUUACUGUUUCUGCGGUCUUAAUAACGGGCGACCUAUUAUAAUAAUACAGGUUGCGAAAUUAGAUAACUCAUCGUUUGCUGCGUUUAUGGUCUGAAAUUAAAUUCGAAAACGUCGUACUAACAACAUUUCAGAAGCGAAGAACAUUUUCGAAGACAGUUACGUUUUUUUUUUUCUAAAAAGAAAAAUUCGUCGUUCAACAGAGCCGAUCGCUUAUCAAGCGAAACAAAUAAUACGGCCUUCACUGCCUCCGAAAAUAUUCCGCUUUUUAAAUUUCGUUGUUUGUGCCCAACACUCUAUACAACGUCAACCUAAACGCCACAGCAUAACAGGUUUUCAGUAACGUAAUUUCGCCAAGUUUGUCAGUUAGCAGGCUUUUAAAAACUAUUUUCAGAUCAAAUACAGAUAUUAUAUUUUCUAAAAAAUGUUAUUCGAAUACUUCGCUUAAAAAAUAUUUGAAUUCUAUCUUACGUUUUGUAAAUCCCGCAGCAUUAUUUAGAAGUGGGUGGAUGGGUAAGGAUAAGUGCUCGAUCGUUUGAAACAUUUUAAAAUAACUAUUAUAAUAUUGAAAACGGUUAAUCGUUUUGUCUGUUUGUUUUUUUUUUUUUUUUUAACAUGGGUAUAAUUCGAAAGUAGACAAAACGAGAGAAAAUAGACUGAGGCAGUUUGAGCGUGUCAUAAGGAAAGGGGAUUCAGAAGCAGUAAAAAUAUUGUAACGCAAAUAAACGUAGGAGGAAAGAGGAGGAGGGGACAACCGAAUAAAAUACCGUCGGAUGCGGUUGAGAAUGAUACGAUGACGGAGUCGGGGAUCGGGUCGAGUGGAAAUUCAGUACGGGACGAACGCGGAGGAGAAGGAGUGGGCACGUGUAUAUUUUACGACCGAAAUUUGAGACACCUCUGAGUGCGAAUACAAAUAUACAAUUGAAGAGAAUUUAUUCAAUUUUUCGAACAAUGUAUUUUGAUGUAUAAUACUACAUUCCAUAUGUAGAGUCACU